rnacentral:pre_miRNA from 1 species
AAACACCGUAGUUUUGCACCGUUUAUGUCUAACCUUUAGUCAUCCGUCUUAUUUGAAAGAUUUCUACGAUUAGUAUUUUUUUAUUUAGAUGAUAAAACAUGAAUAAUGCUUUAUGUGUGACUUUUUUUAAAAAAAAAUUAAAUAAGGCUGACGGUGAAUAUUGGACAUGGAAAUCCAUAACUACAUUUAAA